rnacentral:rRNA from 1 species
CAGUAGCCACGGUAAUACGUAGGUCCCGAGCGUUGUCCGGAUUUAUUGGGCGUAAAGCGAGCGCAGGCGGUUAGAUAAGUCUGAAGUUAAAGGCUGUGGCUUAACCAUAGUACGCUUUGGAAACUGUUUAACUUGAGUGCAAGAGGGGAGAGUGGAAUUCCAUGUGUAGCGGUGAAAUGCGUAGAUAUAUGGAGGAACACCGGUGGCGAAAGCGGCUCUCUGGCUUGUAACUGACGCUGAGGCUCGAAAGCGUGGGGAGCGAACAGGAUUAGAUACCCGUGUAGUCCCUGUCUCUUAUACA